GGAGUUUAGCUUGCGGUCAAAUGUUUAGUGGCAGCUUUCACUAAGUGACUUUGAAUGCACCACCACGCAGAGCGCAACUAAUUUCGGAAACAUACUGGACCAACCUUGCAGGCUCCAGACAGAAAGUAGCGAAAGGCAUGCAUUAACGAGACAGCUCCAGUGGAAAGCCUUUUACUUCACCCCAGAAGCCAUCAUCCAGCAGAUUAAAAAACCUGUUUCCACACACAUGUCUGCUUUUGCACACCAGAUCACGUGACCUACCAUGAUCCUCCACUUCUUUUUGAUCUCUCAAAGGACCUAUCAGAGUCAAGGCCGCUGACAAAGAACCAGCAUUCUACUCAAUUCUUGCUGCAAUGAAGCAGACAGUGGAGGUCCAUCAGAGGUCAGUGAGGCCUCUGGAGAGCCAGUGAAGUGCAGCACACAUCAUGUGGAAGCCCUGGCUAUAGCCCUGCUGCUCCACCUUCACACAGCUCCGUCAGUUCCAACAGGACAAAUGACCCGAGGUCAGUGGACGACCUCCAUACAAAACAUUUUCAAGACCAGCCUAAACAAAAACAGAAUCCAAUUAAGAACUAUCCACCUAGAAUACUAAUUUUCAGGAAUAUGGAGGAUGAAAAACAGAGUUUAUGAUGUAGCAUGGAAUGAAACUUGUGAAGAAUAUUCUAUAAUUUUCUUUGUACUGUAUGUAAAGUCUGCACUCUAUAAACCUAAUGGAUUUAAUACUCUGUUUAAAACAUGAAGUAUAUCUUAGUUUAAUUAAACGGAUGUCGUCUGAGACAGUUUCUAACUUUCACAUAGACCUUCAAAAAUACAAUGUGAAUAAUUCAUACUAUGCAAAAAAUGUAAUAAAUUUAAAAAAUAUUUUAAAAAUGCAAUUGAGAGUGAUUGGGUUUUGAUGUGUAAAACAAUUCAGCUCCACUAGCAACAGGAGAGACUUUAUUACACCAUAUCAAAAACAAACAAAUUAAAGUUAAAGGGCUAUGCUGGAGAGAUUGUGGUCACAUAAAACCAAUCGCCUGCAUGUCAUUUGGUCAUGUAAUAAAUUAAAACCAUUGUGAUCACAUGUUGUUGGGAUAGAUGGAGUUCUUCAGUGUUGAGUUCCGAGGGAUCGAAAGGUUUUAAUUCUGGAAGGUUUGUAGAGACACAACAAACUCUUAGAAGAUUCUCUGUUCAGAGGAAACCUGACCGUUAGCUUUUAACAGAUAUUGCAUCCAUCAUCCCUCUUGUGAAGCAAGUAUGAGAAGCACCCUGGUGUUGGAAUGUGUUUCUUCAUUAAAGAAAUAAGAUCCUAACAAAGUCAGAGAUCAGAUUAAAAAUGAAAUAAAAUAAAAACAUACAAAAGCUA